rnacentral:rRNA from 1 species
CCCGCACAAGCGGUGGAGCAUGUGGUUAAUUCGAAGCAACGCGAAGAACCUUACCAGGUCUUGACAUCCCGAUGCUAUUCUAGAGAUAGAAAGUUACUUCGGUACAUCGGUGACAGGUGGUGCAUGGUUGUCGUCAGCUCGUGUCGUGAGAUGUUGGGUUAAGUCCCGCAACGAGCGCAACCCCUAUUGUUAGUUGCCAUCAUUCAGUUGGGCACUCUAGCGAGACUGCCGGUAAUAAACCGGAGGAAGGUGGGGAUGACGUCAAAUCAUCAUGCCCCUUAUGACCUGGGCUACACACGUGCUACAAUGGUUGGUACAACGAGUUGCGAGUCGGUGACGGCGAGCUAAUCUCUUAAAGCCAAUCUCAGUUCGGAUUGUAGGCUGCAACUCGCCUACAUGAAGUCGGAAUCGCUAGUAAUCGCGGAUCAGCACGCCGCGGUGAAUACGUUCCCGGGCCUU